CCUACGGGAGGCAGCAGUAAGGAAUAUUGGUCAAUGGACGCAAGUCUGGACCAGCCAUGCCGCGUGCAGGAUGAAGGCCCUCUGGGUUGUAAACUGCUUUUAUAGGGGACGAAAAAAGGGCCUUCCAGCUCGUCUGACGGUACCCUAGGAAUAAGCACCGGCUAACUCCGUGCCAGCAGCCGCGGUAAUACGGAGGGUGCAAGCGUUAUCCGGAUUUACUGGGUUUAAAGGGUGCGUAGGUGGGUCGGUAAGUCAGCGGUGAAAUCUUCGAGCUUAACUCGGAAACUGCCAUUGAUACUAUCGAUCUUGAAUCAUCUAGAGGUAAGCGGAAUAUGUCAUGUAGCGGUGAAAUGCUUAGAUAUGACAUAGAACACCAAUUGCGAAGGCAGCUUACUAUGGAUGUAUUGACGCUGAGGCACGAAAGCGUGGGGAUCAAACAGGAUUAGAUACCCUGGUAGUCCACGCCCUAAACGAUGGAUACUCGACAUCAGCGAUACACUGUUGGUGUCUGAGCGAAAGCAUUAAGUAUCCCACCUGGGAAGUACGAUCGCAAGAUUGAAACUCAAAGGAAUUGACGG
rnacentral:rRNA from 1 species